rnacentral:rRNA from 1 species
AGAGUUUGAUCAUGGCUCAGGAUGAACGCUGGCUGUGUGCCUAAUACAUGCAUGUUGAACGAAGCUAAAAGUGCUUGCACUUUAAGACUUAGUAGCGAAUGGGUGAGUAACACGUACUUAACCUACCCCCAAGUUUGGGAUAACGUUUGGAAACGAACGCUAAUACCGAAUACGUAUUUUUAUCGCAUGAUAGAAAUAUAAAAGGAGCUUCGGCUCCACUAGGGGAUGGGAGUGCGCUACAUUAGUUAGUUGGUAGGGUAAUGGCCUACCAAGACUAUGAUGUAUAGCGGGGCCGAGAGGCUGAUCCGCCACACUGGGACUGAGAUACGGCCCAGACUCCUACGGGAGGCAGCAGUAGGGAAUUUUCCACAAUGAACGAAAGUUUGAUGGAGCGACACAGCGUGCAGGAUGAAGGUCUUCGGAUCGUAAACUGCUGUUAUAAGAGAAGAAAAAAUUUGGGAGGUAAUGCCCAAAUCUUGACGGUACCUUAUCAGAAAGCGACGGCUAACUAUGUGCCAGCAGCCGCGGUAAU